rnacentral:rRNA from 1 species
GACGAACGCUGGCGGCGUGCCUAAUACAUGCAAGUCGAGCGAAUCAAUAGGAGCUUGCUCCUGUUGGUUAGCGGCGGACGGGUGAGUAACACGUGGGCAACCUGCCUGUAAGACUGGGAUAACACCGGGAAACCGGUGCUAAUACCGGAUAAUCCUUUUCCUCUCAUGAGGAAAAGUUGAAAGUCGGUUUCGGCUGACACUUACAGAUGGGCCCGCGGCGCAUUAGCUAGUUGGUGAGGUAACGGCUCACCAAGGCGACGAUGCGUAGCCGACCUGAGAGGGUGAUCGGCCACACUGGGACUGAGACACGGCCCAGACUCCUACGGGAGGCAGCAGUAGGGAAUCUUCCACAAUGGACGAAAGUCUGAUGGAGCAACGCCGCGUGAGCGAUGAAGGCCUUCGGGUCGUAAAGCUCUGUUGUUAGGGAAGAACAAGUAUCGGAGUAACUGCCGGUACCUUGACGGUACCUAACCAGAAAGCCACGGCUAACUACGUGCCAGCCGCCGCGGUAA